rnacentral:rRNA from 1 species
UGGGAACUACCUAGUAGUACGGAAUAACACAGAGAAAUUUGUGCUAAUACCGUAUACGCCCUUUUGGGGAAAGAUUUAUCGCUAUUAGAUGGGCCCGCGUUGGAUUAGCUAGUUGGUGGGGUAAUGCCUACCAAGGCGACGAUCUAUAGCUGGUCUGAGAGGAUGAUCAGCCACACUGGAACUGGGACACGGUCCAGACUCCUACGGGAGGCAGCAGUGGGGAAUAUUGGACAAUGGGGGCAACCCUGAUCCAGCCAUGCCGCGUGAGUGAUGAAGGCCCUAGGGUUGUAAAGCUCUUUCAACGGUGAAGAUAAUGACGGUAACCGUAGAAGAAGCCCCGGCUAACUUCGUGCCAGCAGCCGCGGUAAUACGAAGGGGGCUAGCGUUGUUCGGAAUUACUGGGCGUAAAGCGUACGUAGGCGGACUGAUCAGUCAGGGGUGAAAUCCCGGGGCUCAACCCCGAACUGCCUUUGAUACUGUCAGUCUUGAG